rnacentral:rRNA from 1 species
UACGGGGGGAGCAAGCGUUGUUCGGAUUUACUGGGCGUAAAGGGCGCGUAGGCGGCCACCGCAAGUCGACUGUGAAAUCUCCGGGCUUAACCCGGAACGGUCAUCCGAUACUGCGGGGCUAGAGUGCAGAAGGGGCAACUGGAAUUCUCGGUGUAGCGGUGAAAUGCGUAGAUAUCGAGAGGAACACCUGCGGCGAAGGCGGGUUGCUGGGCUGACACUGACGCUGAGGCGCGAAAGCUAGGGGAGCGAACGGG